rnacentral:rRNA from 1 species
AGGUAAGCUACUAAGAGCGAAUGGUGGAUGCCUUGACUGGUAAAGGCGAUGAAGGACGUACUAGACUGCGAUAAGCUACGGGGAGCUGUCAAGAAGCUUUGAUCCGUAGAUUUCCGAAUGGGGCAACCCAAUGUAUAGAGAUAUACAUUACCUAUAUAGGAGCGAACGAGGGGAAUUGAAACAUCUUAGUACCCUCAGGAAAAGAAAUCAAUAGAGAUUGCGUCAGUAGCGGCGAGCGAAAGCGCAAGAGGGCAAACCCAGUGCUUGCACUGGGGGUUGUAGGACUGCAAUGUGCAAGAGGUGAGUUUAGCAGAACAUUCUGGAAAGUAUAGCCAUAGAGGGUGAUAGUCCCGUAUGCGAAAAACAAACCUUAGCUAGCAGUAUCCUGAGUAGGGCGGGACACGAGAAAUCCUGUCUGAAGCUGGGUCGACCACGAUCCAACCCUAAAUACUAAUACCAGAUCGAUAGUGCACAAGUACCGUGAGGGAAAGGUGAAAAGAACUGAGGUGAUCAGAGUGAAAUAGAACCUGAAACCAUUUGCUUACAAUCAUUCAGAGCCCUAUGUAGCAAUACAGGGUGAUGGACUGCCUUUUGCAUAAUGAGCCUGCGAGUUGUGGUGUCUGGCAAGGUUAAGCAAACGCGAAGCCGUAGCGAAAGCGAGUCUGAAUAGGGCGCUUAGUCAGAUGCUGCAGACCCGAAACGAAGUGAUCUAUCCAUGAGCAAGUUGAAGCUAGUGUAAGAACUAGUGGAGGACUGAACCCAUAGGCGUUGAAAAGCCCCGGGAUGACUUGUGGAUAGGGGUGAAAGGCCAAUCAAACUUCGUGAUAGCUGGUUCUCUCCGAAAUAUAUUUAGGUAUAGCGUUGUGUCGUAAUAUAAGGGGGUAGAGCACUGAAUGGGCUAGGGCAUACACCAAUGUACCAAACCCUAUCAAACUCCGAAUACCUUAUAUGUAAUCACAGCAGUCAGGCGGCGAGUGAUAAAAUCCGUCGUCAAGAGGGAAACAACCCAGACUACCAGCUAAGGUCCCUAAAUCUUACUUAAGUGGAAAACGAUGUGAAGUUACUUAAACAACCAGGAGGUUGGCUUAGAAGCAGCCAUCCUUUAAAGAAAGCGUAAUAGCUCACUGGUCUAGUGAUUUUGCGCGGAAAAUAUAACGGGGCUAAAGUAAGUACCGAAGCUGUAGACUUAGUUUACUAAGUGGUAGGAGAGCGUUCUAUUUGCGUCGAAGGUAUACCGGUAAGGAGUGCUGGAGCGAAUAGAAGUGAGCAUGCAGGCAUGAGUAGCGAUAAUUAAUGUGAGAAUCAUUAACGCCGUAAACCCAAGGUUUCCUACGCGAUGCUCGUCAUCGUAGGGUUAGUCGGGUCCUAAGUCGAGUCCGAAAGGGGUAGACGAUGGCAAAUUGGUUAAUAUUCCAAUACCAACAUUAGUGUGCGAUGGAAGGACGCUUAGGGCUAAGGGGGCUAGCGGAUGGAAGUGCUAGUCUAAGGUCGUAGGAGGUUAUACAGGCAAAUCCGUAUAACAAUACUCCGAGAACUGAAAGGCUUUUUGAAGUCUUCGGAUGGAUAGAAGAACCCCUGAUGCCAUCGAGCCAAGAAAAGUUUCUAAGUUUAGCUAAUGUUGCCCGUACCGUAAACCGACACAGGUGGGUGGGAUGAGUAUUCUAAGGCGCGUGGAAGAACUCUCUUUAAGGAACUCUGCAAAAUAGCACCGUAUCUUCGGUAUAAGGUGUGGUUCGCUUCGUAUUAGGAUUUACUCCGAAAGCGAAGAAACUUACAACAAAGAGUCCCUCCCGACUGUUUACCAAAAACACAGCACUCUGCUAACUCGUAAGAGGAUGUAUAGGGUGUGACGCCUGCCCGGUGCUCGAAGGUUAAUUGAUGGGGUUAGCAUUAGCGAAGCUCUUGAUCGAAGCCCGAGUAAACGGCGGCCGUAACUAUAACGGUCCUAAGGUAGCGAAAUUCCUUGUCGGUUAAAUACCGACCUGCAUGAAUGGCGUAACGAGAUGGGAGCUGUCUCAAAGAGGGAUCCAGUGAAAUUGUAGUGGAGGUGAAAAUUCCUCCUACCCGCGGCAAGACGGAAAGACCCCGUGGACCUUUACUACAGCUUGACACUGCUAUUUGGAUAAGAAUGUGCAGGAUAGGUGGGAGGCUUUGAGUAUAUGACGCCAGUUGUAUAUGAGCCAUUGUUGAGAUACCACUCUUUCUUAU